ACGUGGGGGACAACCGUGGGAAACUACGGCUAAUACCGCAUGAUGCCUGAGGGCCAAAGACGAAAGUCGUUUGAGGAGGAGCCUGCGUCUGAUUAGGUAGUUGGUGGGGUAAAGGCCUACCCAAGCCUACGAUCAGUAGCUGGUCUGAGAGGAUGAUCAGCCACAUUGGGACUGAGACACGGCCCAAACUCCUACGGGAGGCAGCAGUGGGGAAUAUUGGACAAUGGGCGCAAGCCUGAUCCAGCAAUGCCGCGUGGGUGAAGAAGGUCUUCGGAUUGUAAAGCCCUUUUGGCGGGGACGAUGAUGACGGUACCCGCAGAAUAAGCUCCGGCUAACUUCGUG
rnacentral:rRNA from 1 species